rnacentral:tRNA from 1 species
GCCUGGGUAGCUCAGUUGGUUAAGUGUCCGACUCCUGCUCAGGUCAUGAUCUCACAGUUUGUGGGUUCAAGCCCCACCUCAGGCA